AUGGGAAUUUAAACCCCUUUCAGAGUAACAAUUGGAGGGCAAGUCUGGUGCCAGCAGCCGCGGUAAUUCCAGCUCCAAUAGCGUAUAUUAAAGUUGUUGCAGUUAAAAAGCUCGUAGUUGGAUGUCUGCUGGAAGCAAUCAGUCCGCCCUAUUUGUAGGGUGUGCACUUGAUGAAUUCUGGCAUUUUUGUCCCAAUGAUGUAACGGGGCGGUGGUAUUCGGUGAAAGCCGAGUAUCCUGUUUUCCGAUUAUUGGGAUACUGUUACUUUGAGAAAAUUAGAGUGUUUGAAGCAGGCUAAUUGCCUUGAAUACUGCAGCAUGGAAUAACAAUAUAGGAUUUCGGUUCUAUUUUGUUGGUUUCUAGGACUGAAAUAAUGAUUAAUAGGGACAGUUGGGGGCAUUCGUAUUUAACUGUCAGAGGUGAAAUUCUUAGAUUUGUUAAAGACGAACUACUGCG
rnacentral:rRNA from 1 species